GAACCUACGGGACGCAGCAGUAGGGAAUUUUCGUCAAUGGGCGCAAGCCUGAACGAGCAAUGCCGCGUGAGUGAGGAAGGUCUUCGGAUCGUAAGGCUCUGUUGCGGGGGAAAAAGGAAGCAGAAAGGAAAUGGUCUGCUUUUGAUGGUACCCCGCCAGAAAGUCACGGCUGACUACGUGCCAGCAGCCGUGGUAAUACGUAGGUGGCGAGCGUUAUCCGGAAUGAUUGGGCGUAAAGGGUGCGCAGGCGGCGCGUCAAGUCCGAAGUAAAAGGUACAGGCUCAACCUGUGCAGGCUUUGGAAAC
rnacentral:rRNA from 1 species